GGCCAGGGGGAAAGAAAAUGUAUAAACUAAAACAUAUAGUAUGGGCAAGCAGGGAACUAGAAAGAUUCGCACUUAACCCCGGUC
rfam:HIV-1 isolate AV-2 from TSA gag polyprotein (gag) gene, partial cds.